rnacentral:rRNA from 1 species
GACGAACGCUGGCGGCGUGCUUAACACAUGCAAGUCGAACGGAAAGGCCCUGCUUUUGUGGGGUGCUCGAGUGGCGAACGGGUGAGUAACACGUGAGUAACCUGCCCUUGACUUUGGGAUAACUUCAGGAAACUGGGGCUAAUACCGGAUAGGAGCUCCUGCUGCAUGGUGGGGGUUGGAAAGUUUCGGCGGUUGGGGAUGGACUCGCGGCUUAUCAGCUUGUUGGUGGGGUAGUGGCUUACCAAGGCUUUGACGGGUAGCCGGCCUGAGAGGGUGACCGGCCACAUUGGGACUGAGAUACGGCCCAGACUCCUACGGGAGGCAGCAGUGGGGAAUAUUGCACAAUGGGCGGAAGCCUGAUGCAGCAACGCCGCGUGCGGGAUGACGGCCUUCGGGUUGUAAACCGCUGUCGCCUGUGACGAAGCGGGAGUGACGGUAAUGGGUAAAGAAGCACCGGCUAACUACGUG